rnacentral:tRNA from 1 species
GCCUGGGUGGUUCAGUUGGUUAGGCGUCUGACUUUGGCUCAGGUCAUGAUCUCACGAUUCACGGGUUCAAGCCCUGUGUCAGGCU